UAUAUUUGCCGCGCUAAUUAAAAUUAAUUAGCUACAUAAUAAUCAUUUAUAACAAUAUUGGCAUG
ncrna:unclassified sequences S15-Flavobacteria ribosomal protein leader